UGAAGAUUUCACAGGCUUCCCUGGAGAGAAGAGACCAUUUAGUCACAGGAUCACCAUGGAAAAGAUACCUCACUGAGGAGUUGAAAACACUAUCAUUUAUCAUUCAAGUGAUAAUUUAUCCUUCAAUCUAACUACAUCCCAAUUUUCAGAGACUUUAAACAUACUAAUAUUUAAGCCACUCUGGACUUCUGUGAAGAAAAACUUCAAAAGAAGGCACCGUAUCAAGCUGGGGCUGCUGAGGUGAACAGUCUCUAUCAUUAAGUGGAGGAGGGGUGAUGCCAGUGGGAUGCAGUGGAUACAGUCGAUGAUAUGUGGACAUGCAUCAGGGCUUUCUCGCACCGGCGACCAUCAUAGCCGCCCGAUGACCAUGACGUCCACCACCU